AAAAAUACGUACUUUGUCGUUUGUUCGGUUUUGAGAGUAUCGUUUACCAAAUUUGUCAAGAUACGAGUUAAAUUUCCGAAAUAUUUAUAUGUCCAAAUAUUUCGGAAAUUUAACUCGUAUCUUGACAAAUUUGGUAAACGAUACUCUCAAAACCGAACAAACGACAAAGUACGUAUUUUU
rnacentral:pre_miRNA from 1 species